CCAUAGCCCCGAUUGUAGUGGAAAUCCUUUUGCUUUUUUUUCCACAUAUGAAAAAGCAAAAGAUUGCAACAGAAAGCGGGAUUAAGC
rnacentral:sRNA from 1 species